rnacentral:rRNA from 1 species
UGGGGAAUAUUGGACAAUGGGCGCAAGCCUGAUCCAGCCGUACCGCGUGGGUGAAGAAGGCCUUCGGGUUGUAAAGCCCUUUUGUUGGGAAAGAAAUCCAGCUGGCUAAUACCCGGUUGGGAUGACGGUACCCAAAGAAUAAGCACCGGCUAACUUCGUGCCAGCAGCCGCGGUAAUACGAAGGGUGCAAGCGUUACUCGGAAUUACUGGGCGUAAAGCGUGCGUAGGUGGUUAUUUAAGUCCGUUGUGAAAGCCCUGGGCUCAACCUGGGAACUGCAGUGGAUACUGGAUGACUAGAAUGUGGUAGAGGGUAGCGGAAUUCCUGGUGUAGCAGUGAAAUGCGUAGAGAUCAGGAGGAACAUCCAUGGCGAAGGCAGCUACCUGGACCAACAUUGACACUGAGGCACGAAAGCGUGGGGAGCAAACA